UGGGGAAUAUUGCACAAUGGGGGAAACCCUGAUGCAGCGACGCCGCGUGAGCGAUGAAGGCUUUCGAGUCGUAAAGCUCUGUCCUAUGGGAAGAUAAUGACGGUACCAUAGAAGAAAGCCCCGGCUAAUUACGUGCCAGCAGCCGCGGUAAUACGUAAGGGGCGAGCGUUGUCCGGAAUCAUUGGGCGUAAAGGGUACGUAGGCGGAUAAGCAAGUUAGAAGUGAAAUCCUAUAGCUCAACUAUAGUAAGCUUUUAAAACUGCUCAUCUUGAGGUAUGGAAGGGAAAGUGGAAUUCCUAGUGUAGCGGUGAAAUGCGCAGAUAUUAGGAGGAAUACCGGUGGCGAAGGCGACUUUCUGGCCAUAAACUGACGCUGAGGUACGAAAGCGUGGGUAGCAAACAGG
rnacentral:rRNA from 1 species